CCUACGGGAGGCAGCAGUGAGGAAUAUUGGUCAAUGGACGAGAGUCUGAACCAGCCAAGUAGCGUGAAGGAUGACUGCCCUAUGGGUUGUAAACUUCUUUUAUAUGGGAAUAAAAUGAUCCACGUGUGGGUUUUUGUAUGUACCAUAUGAAUAAGGAUCGGCUAACUCCGUGCCAGCAGCCGCGGUAAUACGGAGGAUCCGAGCGUUAUCCGGAUUUAUUGGGUCUAAAGGGAGCGUAGGUGGAUUGUUAAGUCAGUUGUGAAAGUUUGCGGCUCAACCGUAAAAUUGCAGUUGAAACUGGCAGUCUUGAGUACAGUAGAGGUGGGCGGAAUUCGUGGUGUAGCGGUGAAAUGCUUAGAUAUCACGAAGAACUCCGAUUGCGAAGGCAGCUCACUGAACUGCGACUGACACUGAGGCUCGAAAGUGUGGGUAUCAAACAGGAUUAGAUACCCUAGUAGUC
rnacentral:rRNA from 1 species